AAGACCUUGUACUUUUGGAGCGGCCGAUGUCUGAUUAGCUAGUUGGUGGGGUAAUGGCCUACCAAAGCUUCGAUCAGUAGCUGGUCUGAGAGGACGGCCAGCCACACUGGGACUGAGACACGGCCCAGACUCCUACGGGAGGCAGCAGUGGGGAAUUUUGGACAAUGGGCGCAAGCCUGAUCCAGCCAUGCCGCGUGAGUGAAGAAGGCCUUCGGGUUGUAAAGCUCUUUCAGUCGGGAAGAAAAGGUUGCGACUAAUAAUCGCAAUUCAUGACGGUACCGGAAGAAGAAGCACCGGCUAACUACGUGCCAGCAGCCGCGGUAAUACGUAGGGUGCGAGCGUUAAUCGGAAUUACUGGGCGUAAAGGGUGCGCAGGCGGUUUUGUAAGUCAGAUGUGAAAUCCCCGGGCUUAACCUGGGAACU
rnacentral:rRNA from 1 species